AGCAUUGGUUUUUUUUGGUGUGCUGAGUAACUUUCUGUAGACCAGAGCCGGAUGCGGGUGUCUUUGUAUGUGCGGGAGAAAUUAGUGGGUGGGUUAGACUCCGUCAGAGCUAUGUGAACCCCUGCCGCAGGACUGACUUCACCGGCAUCUGAACCCUGGCACCCAACCUGAACAUUCUCUUUGACGCUCCCCUUGGCUUUUGGUGUACCCGAUUUCCCUAUUAAACUCCUGUUCUCCCACA